GCCCGCUUGGCGGAAUUGGUAGACGCAAGGGACUUAAAAUCCCUCGGAGGGUAACCUCUGUGCCGGUUCGAUUCCGGCAGCGGGCACCA
rnacentral:tRNA from 1 species